rnacentral:rRNA from 1 species
UACGAAGGGUGCAAGCGUUACUCGGAAUUACUGGGCGUAAAGCGUGCGUAGGUGGUUUGUUAAGUCUGAUGUGAAAGCCCUGGGCUCAACCUGGGAAUUGCAUUGGAUACUGGCAGGCUAGAGUGCGGUAGAGGUAGUGGAAUUCCCGGUGUAGCAGUGAAAUGCGUAGAGAUCGGGAGGAACAUCUGUGGCGAAGGCGACUACCUGGACCAGCACUGACACUGAGGCACGAAAGCGUGGGGAGCAAAAGGG